AAAAUAUGUUAAAAAUAUAUCACACUAUGCCAAGGGCAUUCAACAAAGCACAAGUGCACAUUAAUUUUAAGGAUGGUUCCUAGAAAAGAAAAUGUUAUGCCAAAGGAAUUAGGCAAUGCCCCUGAAAACACACAAACUAGUUAGAUAUGUAAUUUUAAAAGGAAAAGAUGAUUUGGACACCUUUCAGCUCAAAUCUAAACAAUAAAAUGCCAAGAAGACCACAAUCAAACUCAUCAUCCACCCAUGCAAACCAUUGGCAAGGAAAAAAGAAAAUGAAGGCAAAAGGAUGCCACAACAAAAUGAAGCAUUGUA
rnacentral:misc_RNA from 1 species